AUGGGAGUGGAAUUCAAAACAUUCAAAUUUAGAGUUAAUGUGCGUCACUCUGUUGCGAGUGAUAGGUUCGGUGUUUUUCCAGUGGGAAACUGUGAUCCACAAACUGAUAUAUGCCUGUUGUAGACCUUGUUAUUCCAUUCUGCUUUUCUCCUGAUUGUUGCUUACUCUUUCAAAAACCAGCUGACUUUACAAAUUGUUUCUGGGAGCAGAUUUCAGAGCAAAAGUGAUACAUAAAAGCAGCACCUUAUCGGUCUCACUAAAAUAAUGGAAAAGACAUGCUUUGUAUUGCACUGUAUCAGACUGAGCCCAUUAGCCAAGAAAUGUCAGCAAACCUGCCCCACCAAAGAGCAACAUUCCUCCUUUUCGUGUAUGUAUCUGGGGUAGGAGCAGGGGAGUCAGGGAGGAAAGAGGGUAAAAGACGCUUAUAUGCACCCGUAUUCCCCCUAGGUUCCAGUACUGCACCCAAACAAUUUUUAUUGAGGUGAAGUUGAAAUACAUGUAAAAUAAGCGAUAUUGGCACAUGAUGUCCUGAAUAAUGGAAGUAAUAAUAAAAUACUGACUAGCAUUUAUUGAGUAUGUGCCAGGCACUGUUGUGUUUUGUA